rnacentral:lncRNA from 1 species
GGUCACCUGAUAGUUGCAAGUGCAUCCAGAUUGUUGUGAGCUAAGAACUAUUUUAGGGUUUCAAAUUGAUGACUUGGCUAUUGGUGACAGGGAGGACAGGUAGAGAGGGUCAACUCUAGGCCCUCAGAUGGGCUAGGGGGACCAGGAGGCUUCUGAGUGUCCUCCAAGUCUGGGAUAGGUUGGGCUGCCUCUCCCCUGAGGAAGGCUUGAAUAGUGGUUCCAGUAUAGCAGGUGGCCCUAGGCUUGCCAAUAGGUGAGGAUUUGGUAAGAAGUUGUUUUUCCCAAGGCUCUAGAAUCCAGACUUUCCACCAAGAGCUAGUACUGGCCCUCUGCCUCAUCUCCCUCCUUAGCAGUCUAGUGGGGCUGCGGGACUGAGGAAAAAGCAGUAACAUCUGUGUUACUGUCAUCUGGCACCUAGAGUUGUAUACACAGGAUAGACUGACCUGCUUUGGUGGAGAACCAUUAGUCUGGCCAGAGAUACCCAUAUGUCUCAGCCCUAGUAUGUCAGGGAAUUUCCCCAGGGUCCCAAAGGUUCUCUGGGAGUCACAAUUGAGGCCAGGUACAGCCCCACUCCAAGCCCAUUCUCACCAUUGUUCUGUGGACUGGUCCUGUUUUUGUUUUGUUUUGUUUUACUGGGGAUUGAACUCAGGGGUACCACUGAGCCACAUCCCCAGCCCUAUUUUGUAUUUUAUUUAGAGAAAAGGUCUCACUGAGUUGCUUAAUGCCUCACAGUUUCUGAGGCUGGCUUUGAACUUUUGAUUCUCCUGUCUCAGCCUCCCAAGCCACUGGGAUUACAGGCCUGUGACACCAUGCCCAGCACUGGUCCUGUUUUAAACUCAAUUGGAAGUAGUUGAAGGAAGCUGAUGACUCCUUGGUAGGGCUCAGCAUGGGCAGAGGCAGGAGGAUCAGUGAGCACCAGAGCUCCCUAUGCCAGGGGCACCCUUACCUCUCUUCUCUGCUCCCUUUCAGAUUGGUUUAGCCACCUGCACACUCUUGUAGACUGUCGUUGUCUGGGC